CACAUGGUGGGGGGCGGGGCAGUGAGCUGGGGGCUCGGAAGAGUCACUGAGGCCAGGCCACGUGUAUGAAGGUGAAGUGGGGGGUACGCUGUAUUGGAGACUCCAGCUAGGUCAUGGCUGGCGGGAAUAUUUGGUGUGGGGCGUGGUGGUGGCAGAUGGUGGGAAAACAACCAUCGGGUAGGGGCUGCCAGGGGCGAUGAUUUACCCAUGUCUGGUGUAGGACAUGGUGAUGUGGACUUGUUUUGGGGUAGCCCAGCGUGGAGGACUGUCAACUCCGGUCCUGGGGUGAGGGCUGUGAAAUCUGAAAUAUCCGGGGAGCAUAAUUCGGGAGGAGGAGCCAGGGGCGGUGAUGUCACACUGGAAAUGGAGAGGGGGUCACUUUAGUGAAAGAUGAGAGGGCUGGGGGUUGGAAAACUGAGUGUGAGUACACGCGCGUGUGCACUGAAGCCAUGGUGUCAUAAGGCCGGAGAAAUGGUGUCAGGUGUGAGGACCAGAGUGGGGCGCUGGGGAGUCCACCCGGAGUGCACUAGGUGGAAGUGCUGACGUCGCGGGUUGGUAGGGGCGGGGCCUCAAAGGCACAGCACCCCGGCUGGGUUGCGGAGGUCACUAAGCUGAGGCGAAGAGGAGCUGGGAGAGACGUGAGACUGGAACAAAACCAGCGACCAGGAUGGGCCACUGGUCGGCGGUCACAGACCACUGGUUGGAGUCACAGAGCAAGGAUGGAGGAUGCAGCGACACUGGCCAUGGACCAGCCAGCUGGCCUGCAGGUGGACUACGUCUUCCGGGGUGUGGAGCAUGCCGUGCGGGUGAUGGUGUCUGGGCAGGUGCUAGAGCUGGAGGUGGAGGACCGGAUGACGGCCGACCAGUGGCGGGCCGAAUUCGAUGCCAGCUUCAUCGAAGAUUUGACUCACAAGACAGGGAACUUCAAACAGUUCAACAUCUUCUGUAACAUGCUGGAGUCGGCCCUCACCCAGAGCAGUGAGUCGGUUACCCUUGACCUGCUGACCUACACAGAUCUGGAGUCCCUGCGGAACCGAAAGAUGGGGGGCCGCCCAGGCCCCUUGGCCUCGAGAUCGGCCCAGCUCAACUCCAAGCGCUACCUGAUCCUCAUCUACUCUGUGGAGUUUGACAGGAUUCACUACCCGCUGCCCCUCCCGUACCAGGGCAAACCAGACCCUGUGGUCCUGCGGGGCAUCAUUCGCUCACUAAAGGAGGAGCUGAGCCGCCUUCGAGGGCUGGAUGGCCAGGACACUCGGGACAGCCGGGAAACUGAGAUCUGGCAUCUGCGGGAGCAGGUGUCGCGCUUGUCGGCUGAGAAGCGCGAGCUGGAGGCCCAGCUGGGCAGAUCGCGCGAGGAGGCGCUGGCCGGGCGGGCGGCGCGCCAGGAGGUCGAGGCGCUGCGCGGGCUCGUGCGCGGCCUGGAGCUGGAGCUGCGGCAGGAGCGCGGCCUCGGGCACCGCGGGUCCGGCCGCCGAAGCCAGGAUUGCCGCCGCCUGGCCAAGGAGCUAGAGGAGGUGAAGGCGUCGGAGCGGAGCCUGCGUGCCCGGCUGAAGACGCUGAACACCGAGCUGGCCAUGUACAAGAGGGGGAGACGGACUACACCGGUGGUGCCGCCCUCGGCCCGGGAAGAUCGGGCUUCGACGUCUCGGGAGCGCUCCACGUCGCGUGGCCGUGGCGCUGCCCGCUCCUCAUCCCGGGAGAGCGACCGCGGGGGCCGGGGUCAAGGCCGCCCUGGCCGCCCCUCGCCCUCGCCCACAGGUGGUCGCGUGCCCCGUUUCGACCCAACAGCCUUUGUGAAAGCCAAGGAGAAGAAGCAGAGAGCGAUCAAGAUGAAGCAGCAGCAGCAGCGAAACCGAUUGGGCAGCGGAGGAAGCGGGGACCGUCCAUCCACCUCCUGGUCUCGCCAAACUCGGCCCCCCGCAGCCGUGACCGGUCGAGGAGACGCGGCUAACCGCUCCCGAAACCGCAGCUCCUCGGUGGACAGUUUCCGCAGCCGCUACUCGUCCGCCAGCUCCUGCAGCGAGUUCGAGGAUUUCUCUGAAUCCCUCCCUAGAGGCGUUCGUCGCCGGGGGAAGCCGCCCAGCCCCACCACCUGGAGGGGGUCCAAUACGCAGCAGAAACCUAGCCCCCUGGAACGCGGCCGCCAUCAGAGACGCCUGGUGGACUCGGGGGGCUGGGUCCCCAUCAAAGAGUACAGCUCGGACCACCAGGCAGCUGACAUGGCCGAAAUCGACGCCCGCCUGAAGGCCUUGCAGGAAUACAUGAACAGACUGGACGUGCACUCGUGACCUCAGAGAGAGACUACUGCCCCUCCAAUGGAUUCGGAUGGAUUCGGCGUGAGGGGCGGGGCUGGUGUGUCCUGGCCCCGCCCAGGCCCCGCUCCUCCUGGUGCUGUUGGGGUCUCAGGUGUGUGAGGCCCCAAUCCCUACGUCUCCCGCAGGCAUUGCAUUCUGGGAGGGAGGCCCACGUCGCACCAGCCCAGCGUCCGCACGUGGUAGUGCUGCACGUUCUGGACCUGCUUCAGGCAAGAGGCCGGGGUGUCCCAGGCGCUGCCCGCUGCGUGCGACACCACCGCGUAGCGCACGGGCCCGUCUUAGCGCUGGUUGCGCUCGGACGCCAGGGCCUUCCACUCUCUGCGGGGCACGAUGGGGAUGCAGCUUACCGAGGCUUCUUGAGCCGCUCCGAGGCUGAGGACUGCCGGAGAGGGCCCAGGCGAGCAGCGCGCAGCGGCGGGUCAUGGCACGCAGGGCGCGCGGAGAUGGCUAGCAGCUCCAGGCUGGCUCUGCGCCUUUAUCUGCCUGGGGGGCAGGGAAGGCCUUGCAUCACACCCCGCGGGACUUCCCAGUGGGAACCCAGACUCCGAUUCCUUCUCUGGCAGGGCCCCAACAGGAUGCGGUGUGGUCCGGUCCGGAGGGGGGAGACCAUGGUAAAGCCAAGGGGCCCCUCACCCAGCCGAGAGUUGGGGGUGGGGAGAGGCACACAGGCCCUUGGGCACUUCGCCCCGUGGUUUCUGGAAGACCCAGGGUCUGGAUCUCUGCCCUGUUUUGUCUCUCCUCUCAGUGGAGCAUUGGACAGCUCACCAGGACUUAACAUGGGAGGCAGGCGGCCAGGCCUCUUCUCCCAUCCUCCUGCAAGGAACUGAAGAAACAAAGGGGCCCAUUUUAAAAACACUUCUCCUGGACCUAAGCCCGAUGUCAUUUAACCCUGGCAGCAAACUGAAGAGGUGACUAAUGGGAAGCCCAUUUCACAGUUGAGUAAACAGGCCAGAAGAGGGCUACUCACCUUGCUGCCACAUGGGAGAUAGUAAAGCCUGGUGGUCCAGAGCCCUCAUUCAGAGCCAGGCUGCCUGAGUUUGAAUUCUGGUGGCAUUCCAGUGUGUGAGCUUGGGCAAGUGACAACCUUUCUGGGUUUCAGUUUUCCCCACCUGCAAAAUGGGGCUGAUACUAUAACGUAUCUAACUCAUGGGUUGAUCCCUUAGAAGAUGUCUGACUCACAGUGCCACGUAAGCAUCACCUGGGUGGAGGUGGGGGGUUCCCUGGUGGUGCAGUGGUUGAGAAUCCGCCUGCCAAUGCAGGGGACAUGGGUUCGAGCUCUGGUCCGGGAAGAUCCCACAUGCCGUGGAGCAACUAAGCCUGUGCGCCACAACUAUUAAGCCUGAGCUCUAGAGCCCGUGAACCACAACUGCUGAGCCCGAGUGCCACAACUACUGAAGCCCACGUGCCUAGAGCCUGUGCUCUGCAACAAGAGAAGCGACUGCAACGAGAAGCCCACACACAGCAAUGAAGAGUAGCCCCCGCUCUCCACAACUAGAGAAAGCCCGCGCGCAGCAACAAAGACUCAACGAAGCCAAAAAUAACAUAAGUAAAUUUAAAAAAAAAAGCAUCACUGGGACUUGACCUCAAAUCUACCCUUGGUAGUAAGCUGACAGUUCCAUUCUUUUUUUAAAAAAUAAAUUUAUUUAUUUUUAUUUAUUUAUUUUUGGCUGCGUUGGGUCUUCCUAACUGUGCGGGGACUUUCUCAAGUUGCGGUGAGCAGGGGCUACUCUUUGUUGAGGUGCGAGGGCUUCUCAUUACAGUGGCUUCUGUUUGUUGCGGAGCACAGGCUCUAGGCACGCAGGCUCAGUAUUUGUGGCACACAGGCUUAGUUGUUCCGCGGCAUGUGGGAUCUUCCUGGACCAGGGCUCGAACCCAUGUCUCCUGCAUUGGCAGGUGGAUUCUUAACCACUGCACCACCAGGGAAGUCCCAGGACUCAGGACUUGAUCCUCAGGACACUGGGCACCAUGGCCAGGUCCUGAGCACGGAAGGAAAGUAUUCAGAUUUGUGUCUGUGAAUAUCCCAGUAUCUACUGGGAGGAGGGUGGACAGGAAGGUUGAGACUAGAGUUAGCAGUCCAGGGAAGGUGCUGCUAUAGUAGAAAUAUUUGUGCAAUUACCAGAGUCCUAACUGUUUUUUACCACCCAUGGGGGCAGGGGUACAGCAUGCUCCCCUCCCAACCCCAUAUCACCCUCUGGUCUCUGGUGUCCUUUCUCCUGCAGCCGCUGAGUAGCUCCAAACAGCAGAUUGCAACAUUUUAGUAGGUUAGAUAACCACUAGAGUUGGUCAUAGCUAUGUUAUUUUUUAACUGAAAAUAUAUAGAUUAGGGAAUGGAUUUCAACAAUUAAACAUUGUGUCCUAAACUUGCCCUCAAGGAUGUUGGAAGCCACGUAAUGUAAUAUUCAUUUUUUCCCAGAGAGCUGCAGCCUGUUGGUUAACAAAGUCUUGAAUGGAGGAGGCUCAGGGCAAGGGUGGAUUCCUCCUUUGAUGAGCGCCACAGACUUAGCUGCCCCGUCAUGUUUUACAGGUUGGGGCACAUUGCUCAUGACCUUGAUUCCAUUCGCUUCCUGUGAUGGCUUCAGGCAGGACGGGGCCCAGGCCUGGUUGCCUCUGCUUAAAUCCGGAGUGCAGUAGAUGCCUGGACAGCAACCAGGGUGAGGGAGAAAGGAUGUUUUCUAGGGCAGGGUUAGUGUUCCGUCUCUGAAGAGAGACGAGCCCAGACUGCACUCCAGGGCCUGGAGCCUUGUGUCUCAGGGGAGCUGAGUCACUGAAGGGCAGGAGAGUGAAAGGAGAUCAGGACAGGGUAGGGGGGCCUGGGUGCUGGUGGGAGAGCAGUGCCAUUUCUGAGAUCUGUAGAAACCAAGAGCCACUAACUCAACAGCGUUGAGACUUUGGGAUGAGAUAGCCCUGGGUUCACAUCCUGCCUUGGCCCCUUUCUCAAGGUAUCAAAAAAUCCUUUGCACAAAGUCCUGUCCAAUCCUACUACCAGCCCCCUCAGAGACUCCCAUCCUACUGUGUCCACCAUAGGACCUCACUGUCUGGGGACAGCUCUGUCUUCUGCAAGAGAGCCCAGAUCUGGGAGGGACCUGGCCUGUGUUGAUUGAGCCAUCAUUUGGUGUCGGGACCUGCCACUACUUAUGGCUAGAGAAAGUUCUACUUCUGACUUCAAACAGCCAUUUGUUUUAUUCUCUCAUUCUGUUCCCUGAAUCUAAGGAAGACACUGACCCGAGGUCUUACUGCUGGUCAGUGACUCAGGCUGGACUAGAACCCAGGUCUCCUGAACCCCAGUCCGGGGGCCUCCGAACAUCCCUGGCCCAGCCCAUCUAGGAAGGACAGCCUCUGCUCAUAGACAACCCUGGGGAAGACCCAGGUUAACGUUCCCAUGUGCCCUUUCUUGGGACUGGCAGAGCUGGGCUCCUGGAUGUGAAACCCAGGGUGAUGCUGUCAGUUCCUGCUCUCACUGGAUUCCCCACUGGCUUCCUUGUUGCCCCAGGAAUAAAUAGACUUGAUUUUCCUCCUGGCAGUAUCUGGGUGUUAUUUCCAUCUGGCCUUAGGGAGCCCCUCCCAGGAAACAAGCAGGAAUGAGGUAGACUUUCAGGUGUAUGGAGAGAAGGUCAGGUAUGCAGGAGAAGGGGCUGGAGCUCCCCAGAGCCAGGAGGUUCCUCCUCUGCUGGCUGAUGGGGAGGCUGUGUCAACCCUUUGCACCAACCAUAUCCCUGGGAUUACAGAAAGAGACCCCUGCUCCCUGCACAGCGACUUCAAGUGAUGAAAGAAUGGAUGAUCUGGCUAGACCCAGCCCUGGUUGCAUCCUCCACAUGAUAUAGUGAAUUAAGAGCCUACAUGUCAUAGGAGUGGCUGGAGCAACAGGCUCUAGGCUGUGUCUCCAUGAAUGAUACUCAGGGCAGCACUCUUGAGCUGUGAUCCAGGAUCUGGACGCCCUUGUUUCUGCUUAGUGGCUUUUCAGCACCUCAAAGCUAUUGCCUGAACUCACGGGUGCUGCUGGGGAAACACCUGGCUGUGAUGCCCAGAGCUUCAAAUACACCCAGAAUUCCAGCCGCAAGGCCGUGUGGGAAAGGCAGUCUGAAUCUUCCCAGCCUCUGCAGACAAGGAGGCCCUCAGUGGAGGGCAAUGAUGCCAAGUGUCCUGCCCAUUCCUCAUGGUUCCCCCUUGCCCCCAACUUAUUAUAACUGCUUAUUACAACCCAAAAUGUCUCCCACGGCUCAACCGCCAAGUCCUCAGCUGUACGCCUCGCCACUCUCUUCCCUCUUACUUGUGCCCCAGCAUCAGUGUCUGUGCCCCCCACAUCCACAAGUUCCAGGGUUCACGCAUGAUGGUUUCUGUCUGACCCUCUCUCCAAUCUCUUCAUGUGCGUUCUAUUCACGGCCCCCGCACCACCCCCACAGCAGCUUUCAGUUUAAAUGUUGCCCACAUGAAAUGUCCCUGAACUCUGAGGAUGUGGUCUGUAACCUCAUUACAUCCUGAUAGCACCUUGGACGUCUUCUCUUGAGCACUUUUCACAGCUUUUUUUGUGUGUGUGGCUUUGUUGUCAAGGAAGACACUUGAGAAUCAGAGCCAGUUGUGCUUCUGAUGCUCAGUGAGAAGGGAAUGAGUUGUUUCUGGGACCAAACAGAUCAAGGGUUUCAGAUUUAGGUGAACCACACCAACCUUCGCUCUGCACGAGCAGUUGGGAAUCAAAAUCACACUAUAAAGUGAAGAUACUCAGAGAAUGUAUCAUUCCAGAAACAGAUCGAAUUGGUCAGCACUAGAGGUGUGGACAGUUCCUGCUGUUCUUUGGACACACACACCCCCCCCAUUCAAAUGUUUUUACUUUUCUUUUUUUAUGUGUGUGGAAAAAUACACCUAACAUAAAAUUUACUAUUUUAACCCUUGUAAAUUGUACUGUUCAGUGACACUUUGUACAUUCAAGAUGUUUUAUAACCAUCACCAGAAUAUUUUCAUCGCCCCAGAAGGAUAAUCUCAUACUCAUCAAGAAAUCACUGUCCAUUCCACUGUCCUCCCAGCCCCUAUAAAACUCUGAUCUGCUUUCUGUCUCAAUGUUUUCACCUACUUUGAAGUUUUCCUAUAAAUUAUGAAAGAUGUGGUGGUUUGCGUCUGGCUUCGUUCACUCAUCACAGUGUUUUCAAGGUUCAUCCGUGCUGCAGCAUGUAUCGGUACUUCAUUUCUUAAGAGAAAUAAUAUUUCAUUGUAUGGGCGUACCACAUCUUUUUAUCCAUUCAUCACUUGGUGGACGUUUGUGAUGUUUCCACCUUUUGACGCUUGUGAAAAAUGCUACUAUGAACAUUUAUGUACAAAUGAUUGUUUGAACAUCUGUUUCAAUUCUUUUGGUUAUAAUCCAGGAGCAGAUUUGUUUGUUCACAUGUUUAAUUUAGUGAGGAAUGAACAGUUUUCCACAGUAGUUGCACCACUUUGCAUAUUCACGAGCAAAGUGUGCAGUUUGCAAUUUCUCCAUAUCCCUGUGAACACAUUUUUUUUUUUAUCAUUUAAAAAGUACCACCAUUCUAGUGGCUAUACAGUGGUAAUUCCUAGUAAUUUUGAUUUGAAUUUCCCUUAAAACAUGACUUUGAUCAUGUUAUCAUGUGCUUAUUGGAUAUUUGGAUAUCUUCUUGGAGAAGUAUCUAUUAAGUCCUUUGCCAAUUUUACAAUUGUAUUAUUUAUCUUUUUGUUAUUCAGUUGGAGUUCUUUAUAUAUUCUGGAGACUAUAUUCCAGAUCGUUAUUAGCUAUAUGAUUUUCAAUAUUUUCUUUUAUUAUGUGAGUUGUAUUUUCACCUUCUUGACAGUAUCCUUUGAUACCCAAAACUUUAAAAAAUUUUUAAAGUCCAAUAUAUGCUGGGGUUUUUUUUUUUU